rnacentral:rRNA from 1 species
CAGUCGCCGCGGGAACACGAACCGUGCGAACGUUAUUCGGAAUUACUGGGCUUAAAGCGCGUGUAGGCGGGCCGCCACGUCGGUUGCUGAAAUCCCCCGGCUCAACCGGGGAAGUGGCAUCGAUACGAGCGGCCUUGAGGGGGGUAGGGGGAUCUGGAACUUCCGGUGGAGCGGUGAAAUGCGUUGAGAUCGGAAGGAACGCCCGUGGCGAAAGCGAGGUCCUGGACCCUUUCUGACGCUGAGACGCGAAAGCCAGGGGAGCGAACGGGAUUAGAUACCCCCGUAGUCCCUGUCUCUUAUU